UACGUAGGGUGCAAGCGUUGUCCGGAAUUAUUGGGCGUAAAGAGCUCGUAGGCGGUUUGUCGCGUCGAAUGUGAAAACCCGGGGCUCAACCCCGGGGCUGCAUUCGAUACGGGCAGACUAGAGUUCGGUAGGGGAGUCUGGAAUUCCUGGUGUAGCGGUGAAAUGCGCAGAUAUCAGGAGGAACACCGGUGGUGAAGACGGGUUGCUGGGCCGACACUGGCGCUGACAGCGCGAAAGCCAGGGGAGCAAACGGG
rnacentral:rRNA from 1 species